rnacentral:rRNA from 1 species
UACGUAGGGUGCGAGCGUUAAUCGGAAUUACUGGGCGUAAAGCGUGCGCAGGCGGUUCGUUGUGUCGGCGGUGAAAGCCCCGGGCUUAACCUGGGAAUGGCCGUUGAAACUGGCGAACUGGAGUGUGGCAGAGGGGGGUGGAAUUCCGCGUGUAGCAGUGAAAUGCGUAGAGAUGUGGAGGAACACCGAUGGCGAAGGCAGCCUCCUGGGCCAGCACUGACGCUCAUGCACGAAAGCGUGGGGAGCAAACAGG